rnacentral:miRNA from 1 species
UACUAAGUUGGUGCAAAAGUGAUUGCUGCUUUUGCCAUAAUAUUAAUGCCAAAAACUGCAGUUACUUUUACAUCACUAUAUUACUUUGACA